rnacentral:rRNA from 1 species
GACGAACGCUGGCGGCGUGCUUAACACAUGCAAGUCGAACGAUGAAGCUGGAGCUUGCUCCGGUGGAUUAGUGGCGAACGGGUGAGUAACACGUGAGCAAUCUGCCCUCACUCUGGGAUAACUGCGGGAAACUGUAGCUAAUACCGGAUACGAGGCUUGGAGGCAUCUCCAGGUCUGAAAGAAUUUCGGUGAAGGAUGAGCUCGCGGCCUAUCAGCUUGUUGGUGAGGUAAUGGCUCACCAAGGCGACGACGGGUAGCCGGCCUGAGAGUGUGACCGGCCACACUGGGACUGAGACACGGCCCAGACUCCUACGGGAGGCAGCAGUGGGGAAUAUUGCACAAUGGGCGAAAGCCUGAUGCAGCAACGCCGCGUGAGGGAUGAAGGCCUUCGGGUUGUAAACCUCUUUUAGCAGGGAAGAAGCGAAAGUGACGGUACCUGCAGAAAAAGCACCGGCUAACUACGUGCCAGCAGCCGCCGCGG